rnacentral:rRNA from 1 species
GAUGAACGCUGGCGGCGUGCCUAAUACAUGCAAGUCGAGCGAACAGACGAGGAGCUUGCUCCUCUGACGUUAGCGGCGGACGGGUGAGUAACACGUGGAUAACCUACCUAUAAGACUGGGAUAACUUCGGGAAACCGGAGCUAAUACCGGAUAAUAUAUUGAACCGCAUGGUUCAAUAGUGAAAGACGGUUUUGCUGUCACUUAUAGAUGGAUCCGCGCCGCAUUAGCUAGUUGGUAAGGUAACGGCUUACCAAGGCAACGAUGCGUAGCCGACCUGAGAGGGUGAUCGGCCACACUGGAACUGAGACACGGUCCAGACUCCUACGGGAGGCAGCAGUAGGGAAUCUGCCGCAAUGGGCGAAAGCCUGACGGAGCAACGCCGCGUGAGUGAUGAAGGUCUUCGGAUCGUAAAACUCUGUUAUUAGGGAAGAACAAAUGUGUAAGUAACUAUGCACGUCUUGACGGUACCUAAUCAGAAAGCCACGGCUAACUACGU